AUUGAACGCUGGCGGCAUGAUUUACACAUGCAAGUCGAACGGUAACAGGCCGCAAGGUGCUGACGAGUGGCGAACGGGUGAGUAAUGCAUCGGAACGUGCCCAGUCGUGGGGGAUAACUACUCUAAAGAGUAGCUAAUACCGCAUACGAUCUAUGGAUGAAAGCGGGGGACCGUAAGGCCUCGCGCGAUUGGAGCGGCCGAUGUCAGAUUAGGUAGUUGGUGGGGUAAAGGCUCACCAAGCCAACGAUCUGUAGCUGGUCUGAGAGGACGACCAGCCACACUGGGACUGAGACACGGCCCAGACUCCUACGGGAGGCAGCAGUGGGGAAUUUUGGACAAUGGGCGCAAGCCUGAUCCAGCAAUGCCGCGUGCAGGAAGAAGGCCUUCGGGUUGUAAACUGCUUUUGUACGGAACGAAACGGCUCUGGUUAAUACCCGGGGCUAAUGACGGUACCGUAAGAAUAAGCACCGGCUAACUACGUG
rnacentral:rRNA from 1 species